CCGUGUACGUACAAGCAGUGGGAGCCUCUUUUAUGGGGUGACUGCGUACCUUUUGUAUAAUGGGUCAGCGACUUAUAUUCUGUAGCAAGGUUAACCGAAUAGGGGAGCCGAAGGGAAACCGAGUCUUAACUGGGCGUUAAGUUGCAGGGUAUAGACCCGAAACCCGGUGAUCUAGCCAUGGGCAGGUUGAAGGUUGGGUAACACUAACUGGAGGACCGAACCGACUAAUGUUGAAAAAUUAGCGGAUGACUUGUGGCUGGGGGUGAAAGGCCAAUCAAACCGGGAGAUAGCUGGUUCUCCCCGAAAGCUAUUUAGGUAGCGCCUCGUGAAUUCAUCUCCGGGGGUAGAGCACUGUUUCGGCAAGGGGGUCAUCCCGACUUACCAACCCGAUGCAAACUGCGAAUACCGGAGAAUGUUAUCACGGGAGACACACGGCGGGUGCUAACGUCCGUCGUGAAGAGGGAAACAACCCAGACCGCCAGCUAAGGUCCCAAAGUCAUGGUUAAGUGGGAAACGAUGUGGGAAGGCCCAGACAGCCAGGAUGUUGGCUUAGAAGCAGCCAUCAUUUAAAGAAAGCGUAAUAGCUCACUGGUCGAGUCGGCCUGCGCGGAAGAUGUAACGGGGCUAAA
rnacentral:rRNA from 1 species